CCAAUGCACCUGCAAUAUGCACCUGCAAUAUGCAUCCAUGAUAUAUAGCCAAAAUGUAUCAAACAUUCAAAAUACAUUCCAAUAAUACCAUUCGUUUACAGUUUCAAAUUACUAAAUCCAUAAAAUAUAUACCAAACUAUCCAUAUAUGCAUCUCAAAUUCACUUUUCAAUAUAAAUUACUACUAUAUUGAAUUGUGAAUUUGAUUACAUGCAUCCACAAAAUAAACCAAACUAUCCAUAAAAUUAAGUUACUACCUAAGUAUGUGCAAAAAAGCCUAGUUCUCCCAAAAUACGUACAUUCAUCUAACAUAUUAACCGUUAACUCGAGGCUCUACAUGUAGCUGCUCACAUACGUUGCCCACUCAUCCCGUACUUCAUCAAUUUGUUAUUGUGUGUACGUUAAUGCUCACAUAACUGUAGAUGUCCUCUAAGUUGUUCUGCAACAGCAAACAAGGACGUCAGGAAAGAUAACUACUGCUAGUUACUUGUCAAAAUCUAAUGAAAAUGAUAAGCAAAACUAAUAAUAUUCAUGGUUUGCAAGAAAUACUUCUUGCAAACACUAUGUAGGCAAGUGUCACAAUUCACCUGAUAGUGACUAUUUCAAAGCUCACACUAUUUCAAAGCAAAGAGUUAUGGAAGUGAGCAACAUAGUACUGUAGACUAAAGAAAAAGCCCACUGCAGCAUUUUGAUAGAAACAAAUUAUAACAGAAAAAAGGCCAAAUUAAAAUUUAAAUCAGAUAGAAACAACAAAUAAAAGAAAGCAACAAUGGUUGUUGUGGGGAAUGCUUAUAAUUUACAUAUUUUGAUAAACUAGUUAAAUAUUAUUGAAUAAAGAUGAAAAUAAAAAAAAAUCAUUGAUAACCUCUCAUCAUUUGUAAGGAACAAAGAGUUUCAAAACAUAAGUACAUAACUUGCUUUAAAACUUAAUCUUUUAGACAUUUAACUUAGUACAGAUCAAGCUUAUGUACAAAUUUGGCGAAAUAAACAGAGGGGGAGCACACCAAGUGCAAGACUGAAUGAGUGAAAAUUACAAAUAGAGGCAAGAACCAGAUAACUUAAGACCUCUCAAACUAGAGCUCUGAUACAAUGUCAGAAUACUAAUUAAGCUAAAAAUUUAAGAAAUUAAUGAUUGGGUCUACUAUAUGACAAAGUAUAUCAAGCUCUCACAAAGAAAACUAAAAUAUACAAACACCCUUCAACAUAUCAGAAAAUCAUCUUCUUCUUUUUUGUUUAUAUUUUCCAUAUUCAGAAUAGUUUCAACAACAAAGGUGUACUUAACACAACAAGAAACAUAUCCAUUAUUUCUCAUUCAAGCUUUUAAACACGUCAGACAUGCCAACAUAUUCAAGUAAGUUAUCUUCAAACAUUUAAAACACAGUGGAUUCAGUAAGAGUUAGGAGGUCAAUAUAGCUACACAAAAACCAUUUCUGGUGUUAGAGAGUCUGGAAAACUUUAACAUACAAUUAAGACUACCACACCCUGAAUGAAGAAAAAGCAUAUGAAUACAACUUUAUAAAUUUACAUUUUACACACUUUCUAGUCAAACAGCAGGACAAACCUGCGCUGAACCAAGAUCAAAUAUGUUGCCUACAAAUAUUCCUCUAAUCAGAUUCUCUACACGCUUGGCUUCAUCCUCAAUAUCAUCAUUAAGACGAACUAUAUUCUCAAAUAAGGACAUUGCCUUGGCACACCAAGCAGUGGGCUUUUUCUUUAGCCACUGAUUCCUGUAGGAGGGUCAAUUUGUAAACCCAGGUUUCUCCGUUGGAACUGCCAAAGAAAUCUAAAUCAGCCUUGCAGAAUGAAUGUAACAUCCAAUUUUCUCGGAACAAUGAAAACAAAAUAUAACUGCCUCAAUGUACAAGUUCUAAAUAAUAAGGAAUUUUGAUCCUUUCCGGAUGACAGAAACUGUUCAGGCUCAUGUGUUGAUUGGAAUAUCUCGAACUAAGGGGGCACAAAAUCAUAAUUACACAUCAUGUUUAUCAAGGUGCAUAGAAAUAUACAUGCUCUAAAUACAUAGAAGAACCUAUUCAACGGACAUUCACUAUUUAACACCAAUUUGAUUCAAAAUAUAAUCAGGAUGAGAUAAGAUACUACGACAUGAUUCCGCAGUGUGUAUAUAUAGGGUAGCAUAAAAUAUUGGCUCAUGUUUGCAACUCAACUCAGCAGAACUUUCUAAAAGAUAACCAUUUGUUGGGUGGUAGAAAUGAUUCGUGGAAUAAGUACUGUGAUCUACUUCCACAAGAUAGAAAUUCAUGUAGUCAAAACAAAACAUUCGAUAUACAUAGCUAGAGCAUACGAUACGGUCAGUCACUACACUAAAGUAUUUUCAUUACCAUUCGACAAUGAUGCAACUACUGAAACAAAAAAGAGGUUGCCAUCUGUUGUAUCACCCAUUCCUAGAACUUAUGAACAGAGAGAUUCCAAUUACAUACCUAAGUAGUGCAAAACAUUCACAACAUCCCAUAUUAGAAGCAAUCUAGAAAACUCACAAAGAUAUCAUCAUCUCCUGCAAAAGGUUUGACUCCAUUCAUAAAAUAAAACUCAUAGUCAAAUUACCAGCAAAUAAAUUUUUUUUAAAAAAAUAAAAAAUGGAAUGGCGCUCGAACAAAUAUAACACAGAAAAAAAGUUACCUAAUUAUCGAAUCAUCGACAGAUAUUCACACUAUCUAAAAUUAUCACAAUCAAAAAAGAAGAAAAAGUAAAAAAAACAAACAAACAAACAAUAGUUAAUACUAAGCCUAAAACACAUAUCAAAGACAAAAUAAAACGUACCUGACAAUUCCAAGUUCUUCGUGAGUCUGAACAAUUCGCCCCCUCCACCGCUCCUAAAAUCCCCCACCUACUGAUUCCGCCUCACAUCAGAUGCAGAUCUAAACCCUCCGUCAUUAAAAUCAGGGCUUGACUUGGUAUGAGAGAUUUAGGCUGAUUCGGGUCCUAAAAUCCCCCACUAUCUGAUUUCGACUGAUUCCGCCUCCCAUCAGAUGUUGUUCCUAUGUGAGAUUUAGGCUCUUGUAUAAGAUAUUAAAGGUGGACAUGAGACAUUUAGGGAGAGAGAUAUGGCUGGGUACGAGAUUUACCAGAGUAGACUGGGAGAGUUUGAGGACUUCGAAAAGGAGAAGGAACAAAUGAAGAGAGGUUAGUUGUGGAGGUAGGGAGUGAGAGAGAAGAGAGGCUAGGGUUUUUGGGAGGAGAGGCUACGGCUGGUUGUGGAGGUAGAGAGAAGAGAGAAGAGAGAAGGUAGGGAGACUGAGAUUGAAUUCUAUUCUCGCGUUUCGCCUUUUUUUUUGGCUCCGUG
rnacentral:lncRNA from 1 species